rnacentral:rRNA from 1 species
UACGGGGGGGGCAAGCGUUGUUCGGAAUUACUGGGCGUAAAGGGUUCGUAGGUGGCCAACUCAGUCAGACGUGAAAUCCCUCAGCUUAACUGGGGAACUGCGUCCGAUACUGGAUGGCUUGAGUUUGGGAGAGGGAUGCGGAAUUCCAGGUGUAGCGGUGAAAUGCGUAGAUAUCUGGAGGAACACCGGUGGCGAAGGCGGCAUCCUGGACCAACACUGACACUGAGGAGCGAAAGCCAGGGGAGCAAACGGG